rnacentral:tRNA from 1 species
UUAAAGAAAUAUCGAAAAAAAAGCUUCUAACUUUUUAAAAAGCAUUAACUUGUUUAU